rnacentral:rRNA from 1 species
GAUGAACGCUGGCGGCGUGCUUAAUACAUGCAAGUCGAACGGAAAGGCUACUGAUUGCAGCGGCACUCGUGUGGCGAACGGGUGAGUAUCACGUGGGUGAACUGCCCCGCAAUUCGGGAUAAGCCUGGGAAACUGGGUCUCUUAUCGGAUAGGAUAGCUUUUUGGAUGGUGUGGUGGAAAGUUUUUUCGGUAUGCGAUCACCUAGCGGCCUAUCAGCUUGUUGGUGGGGUAAUGGCAUACUAAGGCGUUGACGGGUAGCCGGCCUGUGAGGGUGUACGGACACAUUGGGACUGAGAGACGGCGCAGACUCCUACGGGAGGCAGCGGUGGAGAGUAUUGCGCAAUAGGCGCAAGCCAGAGGCAGCGACGCCGGGUGGGGGAUAACGGGCUUCGGGUUGUAAACACCUGUCGCUAAGAACAAAGAGUAAUUGACGGUACCUGGUGAGGAAGCACCGGCUAACUACGUG